rnacentral:rRNA from 1 species
GGGUGAGUAACACGUGGGGCAACCUGGCCUGUAAGACUGGGAUAACUCCGGGAAACCGGGGCUAAUACCGGAUAAUUCUUUCCCUCACAUGAGGGAAAGCUGAAAGAUGGUUUCGGCUAUCACUUACAGAUGGGCCCGCGGCGCAUUAGCUAGUUGGUGAGGUAACGGCUCACCAAGGCGACGAUGCGUAGCCGACCUGAGAGGGUGAUCGGCCACACUGGGACUGAGACACGGCCCAGACUCCUACGGGAGGCAGCAGUAGGGAAUCUUCCGCAAUGGACGAAAGUCUGACGGAGCAACGCCGCGUGAGUGAUGAAGGUUUUCGGAUCGUANAACUCUGUUGUCAGGGAAGGCAAGUAUCGGAGUAACUGCCGGUACCUUGACGGUACCUGACCAGAAAGCCACGGCUAACUACGUGCCAGCAGCCGCGGUAAUACGU